AGUUUGAUCCUGGCUCAGAUUGAACGCUGGCGGCAGGCCUAACACAUGCAAGUCGAACGGUAACAGGAAGAAGCUUGCUUCUUUGCUGACGAGUGGCGGACGGGUGAGUAAUGUCUGGGAAACUGCCUGAUGGAGGGGGAUAACUACUGGAAACGGUAGCUAAUACCGCAUAACGUCGCAAGACCAAAGAGGGGGGACCCUUCGGGCCUCUUGCCAUCGGAUGUGCCCAGAUGGGAUUAGCUAGUAGGUGGGGUAACGGCUCACCUAGGCGACGAUCCCUAGCUGGUCUGAGAGGAUGACCAGCCACACUGGAACUGAGACACGGUCCAGACUCCUACGGGAGGCAGCAGUGGGGAAUAUUGCACAAUGGGCGCAAGCCUGAUGCAGCCAUGCCGCGUGUAUGAAGAAGGCCUUCGGGUUGUAAAGUACUUUCAGCGGGGAGGAAGGGAGUAAAGUUAAUACCUUUGCUCAUUGACGUUACCCGCAGAAGAAGCACCGGCUAACUCCGUG
rnacentral:rRNA from 1 species